GCAAAAAGACUUGUAAAUCUCGAUAUAGUGCUCUCAUCCCUCUUCGUCUCUCACAUCAUCCUCUUCAUCCACCAUUGAAGAUUUUCUAGAGAAGCUUGCUCUCUCAGAGUAACCAUCCACUCUCUAACGGCUGAUCCUUCUUUAUUUUGUCACUCAGCCUCUCAAAUAUUUUACUCCUGACUUGCGGUUGGCUUGUUAGUUUGUUGCCGGUGAUAUUUGUAGGUAAGCUUCAUAUUUCUUGAAAACUUUCUGUUUUACGUAUUGUUAAAAUUUCGAGACCGUAAUUAAAGAUUCGCAAUUUUCAAUUAAAUUAUUUGUGUUUUAAAUUUAUGCUUUUUUUUACAUUCUAGCUGCCGAUAUAGAAGGAUAUUUUUUUGUGAGCCAGCUUUUUAGAUUUCUUAAAUUUUGUAUGAAAAAUUCCUAAAAUUGGUGGAGUUGCUUUAUCUGUGGUUUUCUUUUCUUUUUAAUAAAAUUUAGCUAGAGCGCUCGUUUUAGAUGUUGCUUUAUAAAAUUUGUGAUUUGGAAUCUUGGUCAGUCAAAGAUGAGUUAGGAUCCUAUCUUAUACAAGAUCAAACUUCUUAGUGAAUAGUGAGCAAUUUUGAAAUCUAUUUCUUUU
rnacentral:lncRNA from 1 species